rnacentral:rRNA from 1 species
GAUGAACGCUAGCGGCAGGCUUAAUACAUGCAAGUCGAGGGGCAGCACAGAUAGCAAUAUUGGGUGGCGACCGGCAAACGGGUGCGGAACACGUACACAACCUUCCUUUUGGUGGGGGAUAGCCUUUGGAAACGGAGAUUAAUACCCCAUAAGAUAUUGGGACCGCAUGGUUUUGAUAUUAAAGAUUUAUUGCAAGAAGAUGGGUGUGCGUAUGAUUAGGUAGUUGGUGAGGUAAAGGCUCACCAAGCCGACGAUCAUUAACCGGUGUGAGAGCACGACCAGUCACACGGGCACUGAGACACGGGCCCGACUCCUACGGGAGGCAGCAGUAAGGAAUAUUGGUCAGUGGACGGAAGUCUGAACCAGCCAUGCCGCGUGGAGGAUGAAGGUCCUCUGGAUUGUAAGCUUCUUUUAUAUGGGGCGAAAAAGGGCCAUUCUUGGUCAACUGACGGUACCAUAUGAAUAAGCACCGGCUAACUCUGUGCCAGCCGCCGCCGUAAGAC